CAGUUGUACAUGUUCACAUAGAUGUGCCAACAGCUCAGACAGGUGUGUCUAGAUACACACAGGUGCAUCCAUACUGGAGGUACAACAAAACAGAAGAUCUAGAACCCGGAGGCAAGGAGAUUAUGUCAUACACUCAUCUUAUGAUAGGAACAGAGAGCAGUGAAAAUGGCGAACUAAAACCUUACAGGGAUACUCAUGAUAUAAUAGCGGAAUUUCCAGGCUUUGAGAGAUUGCAUUUGAAUGUUAAAUCUUUUCCACCUGUUAAAGUGAUAACCAGACCUAAGAUUUUUAUUUUGAAGAAAAAAUGAGGUCAUUCAUUCCAGUCUUGUUUUUUUUGCCAGCAACAUCUACUGAAAUAAAUGUAUUUUACUGUU